GAUGAAGAACGUAGCGAAAUGCGAUAACUAAUGUGAAUUGCAGAAUUCCGUGAAUCAUCGAAUCUUUGAACGCACAUUGCGCCCCUUGGUAUUCCGAGGGGCAUGCCUGUUCGAGCGUCAUUAUAACCCCUCAAGCUCAGCUUGGUGUUGGGGCCUGCUGCACUGGCAGCCCUUAAAAUCAGUGGCGGCGCCAUCUGGCUCUAAGCGUAGUAAUUCUUCUCGCUAUGGAGUCCUGGUGGAUGCUUGCCAUCAACCCCCAAUUUUUCUAUGGUUGACCUCGGAUCAGGUAGGGAUACCCGCUGAACUUAAGCAUAUCAAUAAGCGGAGGA
rnacentral:misc_RNA from 1 species